ACGUUUUACUAUACUUGGUUACAGUACUGAACUUGGGUACAGAAAAACGUUACGGCGCGUUACACGGGGGGGGUUCAAUAAUCUCCAAAAACUGCGUGACGUCAUACUUAAACGCUCCCUUAAUCAGUACAUACCUUAGUAGAAAGUAUCUUUAAAAUAUAUUGUUGCUUCAGGGAUGCUCUGGCUCCGUCUCCCACGAGACCUGGUAAGGCCUGAUGAAGUAUUUGACGAGCAAGUGACAUCCCAAUAAAUUCUAAAUCAAGUGUGUAAAGACUACUUUGCUAUUGUUAUUGUCAUAAAUAUUGUGAUUUACAAAAAUGUACAGUUAUACUCAUAUAUAUCUUAUAUUAUUUGAAAAUAAAUUUCAAUAAAAAUAGA